GUGAGGAAUAUUGGUCAAUGGGCGGGAGCCUGAACCAGCCAAGUCGCGUGAAGGAAGAAGGAUCUAUGGUUCGUAAACUUCUUUUGCAGGGGAAUAAAGUGCAGGACGUGUCCUGUUUUGUAUGUACCCUGAGAAUAAGGAUCGGCUAACUCCGUGCCAGCAGCCGCGGUAAUACGGAGGAUCCGAGCGUUAUCCGGAUUUAUUGGGUUUAAAGGGUGCGUAGGUGGUUUGAUAAGUCAGCGAUGAAAGUUUGCAGCUUAACUGUAAAAAUGCCGUUGAAACUGUCGGACUUGAGUGUAAAUGAGGUAGGCGGAAUGCGUGGUGUAGCGGUGAAAUGCAUAGAUAUCACGCAGAACUCCGAUUGCGAAGGCAGCUUACUAAGCUACAACUGACACUGAAGCACGAAAGCGUGGGGAUCAAACAGGAUUAGAAACCCGUGUAGUCC
rnacentral:rRNA from 1 species